rnacentral:rRNA from 1 species
UGGGGAAUAUUGGGCAAUGGGCGAAAGCCUGACCCAGCAACGCCGCGUGAAGGAAGAAGGUUUUCGGAUUGUAAACUUCUGUCCUUGGUGACGAAGGAAGUGACGGUAGCCAAGGAGGAAGCCCCGGCUAACUACGUGCCAGCAGCCGCGGUAAUACGUAGGGGGCGAGCGUUGUCCGGAAUGACUGGGCGUAAAGGGCGUGUAGGCGGCCGACUAAGUAUGGAGUGAAAACCCAGGUUUCAAGCUUGGGCCUGCUUUGUAGACUGGUUGGCUUGAGUGCGGAAGAGGUAAGUGGAAUUCCCAGCGUAGCGGUGAAAUGCGUAGAGAUUGGGAGGAACACCAGUGGCGAAGGCGACUUACUGGGCCGUAACUGACGCUGAGGCGCGAAAGCGUGGGGAGCGAACAGGAUUAGAUACCCUGGUAGU